rnacentral:hammerhead_ribozyme from 1 species
AUCCACUGACGAGUCCUAAAUAGGAAGAAAUGCGCAUCCUGCAU